GCGGGCGUGGCGGAAUUGGUAGACGCGGCGGUCUCAAAAACCGCUGUCCUUUCCGGACAUGUGAGUUCAAGUCUCGCCGCCCGCA
rnacentral:tRNA from 1 species